rnacentral:tRNA from 1 species
GCGGGUGUGGCGGAAUUGGUAGACGCGCUAGUUUUAGGCACUAGUGGGGCAACCCGUGGAGGUUCAAGUCCUCUCGCCCGCA